rnacentral:rRNA from 1 species
CUCUGGUUGAUCCUGCCAGAUCCGACUGCUAUCCGGGUAGGACUAAGUCAUGCAAGUCGAAUGGAACUUCGGUUCCAUGGCAUACUGCUCUGUAACAAGUGAUCAACUUACCCUGCGAUGGGGCAUAACCUCGGGAAACUGAGGCUAAUACCCCAUAGUUAGCUAUCCCUGGAAUGGGUUGCUAUCGAAAGAAUUUCGUCGCAGGAUAGGAUCGCUCUCGAUUACGGUAGUUGGUGAGGUAAUGGCUCACCAAGCCUAUGAUCGAUAGGGGCCGUGAGAGCGGGAGCCCCGAGAUGGAUACUGAGACAACGAUCCAGGCCUUACGAGGUGCAGCAGUCGCGAAACCUUUUCAAUGCGCGCAAGCGCGAAAAGGUUACCCGGAGUGCCGAGAGAAAAACUUUCGGCUGUUAUAGGUGUGUAAAUAACCCUAUGAGAAAGGAGAGGGCAAGGCUGGUGCCAGCCGCCGCGGUAAAACCAGCUCUUCAAGUGGUCGGGAUUUUUAUUGGGCUUAAAGUGUCCGUAGCCUGUUUGGUAAGUUCCUGGUAAAAUCUCCGUGCUCAACGCGGAGUCUGCUAGGAAUACUGCCUUACUAGAGGAUGGGAGAGGUCAGAGGUACUCCAGGGGUAGCGGUGAAAUGCGAUAAUCCUUGGGGGACCACCAGUGGCGAAGGCGUCUGACUGGAACAUGCCUGACGGUGAGGGACGAAAGCCAGGGGAGCGAACGGGAUUAGAUACCCCGGUAGUCCUGGCUGUAAACGAUGCGUGCUAGGUGUUGGUAGAGCUCUGAGCUGUAUCAGUGCCGUAGGGAAACUGUUAAGCGCGCCGCCUGGGAAGUACGCUCGCAAGAGUGAAACUUAAAGGAAUUGGCUGGGGAGCACCACAAGGGGUGAAGCCUGCGGUUCAAUUGGACCCAACGCCGGGAAACUUACCGGGGGCGACAGCAGAAUGAAGGUCAGGCUGACGACCUUACCAGACAAGCUGAGCGGAGGUGCAUGGCCGUCGCCAGUUCGUGCCGUGAGGUAUCCUGUUAAGUCAGGCAACGAACGAGACCCUCAUACUUAAUUGCCAGCAAUGGUCUUCGGAUCAGUUGGGAACGUUAAGUAGACUGCCAUCAUACAGAUGGAGGAAGGAGAGGGCCACGGCAGGUCAGUAUGCCCCUAAUCCCCCGGGCUACACGCGGGCUGCAAUGGUAUGGACAAUGGGUUGCGACUCUGAAAAGAGAAGCCAAUCUCGAAACCAUAUCUCAGUUGGGAUUGUCGGCUGUAACUCGCCGACAUGAACGUGGAAUCCCUAGUAAUCGUGUGUCAUCAUCGCACGGUGAAUACGUCUCUGCUCCUUGCACACACCGCCCGUCGCUCCAUCCGAGUGCAAUAUGGUUGAAAAUUGGUCCUAAGGGUCGAUUUAAAAUGGUGUUGCGCGAGGAGGGAGAAGUCGUAACAAGGUAGCCGUAGGGGAACCUGCGGCUGGAUCACCUCCU